GAACCAGGAAUUCGGGGGGUGGGUCGUGCUUCGAGACGACCCAGUCGCUUUGGACCGUGGUGCGCAUGCGGAAAGGGGGCUGGGGCGGGUGCAAGCUGACAGGUACAUGAGAUGCCCUGUGAUCAGUUCUUCAGGAAUCUGAACCAGCCUGCAUAGAAAAAAGCCUGUGAGCAGACACUGCAGAAAGGGCAUCCUUCAAAGAGACAUACCUGGCAUUUGUGCUCAGAUACAAAUGAUGCUGGCAUAUUGAGUGCAGCACUUUCACAGCAUUAUCUUUCAAGAUUUGAAAUAGCUCAACUGGAAUUCCAUCACCUCCACUAGCUUUGUUCGUAGUGAUGCUUUCUAAGGCCCACUUGACUUCACAUUCCAGGAUCUCUGGCUCUAGGGAGAAGACAAUAGCAUCCCACUCCAGUACUCCUGCCUGGAAAAUCCCAUGGACGGAGGCACCUGGUAGGCUGCAGUCCAUGGGUCGCUACGAGUUGGACACGACUGAAGCAACUUAGCAGUGGUUGCAAAUGAAACAGACCUAGAUUUUUUUUCUAUCUUGACAUCUUUGGAAUUAAACAAUGUAUG
ensembl:lncRNA